CGCUUGGUGCAUAAAAGAAGGGUAAGAACGCUUACAAGACGUUUCAAUUCGAGGAAGGAGCGAAGCUAUAUGUCCAAGAAGGAAACCUCAUUUUGAGACUGGGAAUCCUCAAAAUGAGAGUUUGAGGGUAACUCAGCAUCCAUGUGAACGACAAAAGACGUUUGCUGUCUGACACUUCGUACUAGAUAAUUCGCCGUCCUAGAAGGCUUCAUGAAAGGGCUGUAGAUGCGAGGCUUUGUGACGAUGGAGAAUGCUCCCUUCGCCGUUCCUCCAUCAACCGCCACCGUACUUCCACCGCCUCCUCCAGCACCACCACCGCCGAGUCUCUCACAAGAAGGACACAUCAUUAGCGUUGCCGGCGGCAUAUGCAUGUAAAAAGGUUGAGACAUCUUUAAAGCCUUGAGAUCUUGGAGCUCUUUUAGAAGCCUUCUAUUCUCAUCCGUCAAAGUCUCACAACAUUUCUUCAAAAACUCACAAUCCACUUCUGUUUGCUUUAGUUUUGUCCUAUCCAAUUUUUUCAUUUAAAAAAAUAUAUAUAUAUAAGGAAAAGGGUAAUAUAUGUGACCAAAAUUUUCUUGAAAUUUAAUCAUUUCAAUUUUACCU